rnacentral:rRNA from 2 species
UGGCGGCAAUAGCGCGGUGGUCCCACCUGACCCCAUGCCGAACUCAGCAGUGAAACGCCGUAGCGCCGAUGGUAGUGUGGGGUCUCCCCAUGUG